rnacentral:rRNA from 1 species
AGCGAACGCCGGCGGCAGGCCUAACACAUGCAAGUCGAACGAAGUCUUCGGACUUAGUGGCGGACGGGUGAGUAACACGUGGGAACGUACCUUUUGGUUCGGAACAACUCAGGGAAACUUGGGCUAAUACCGGAUGAGCCCUUAGGGGGAAAGAUUUAUCGCCGAAAGAGCGGCCCGCGUUAGAUUAGCUAGUUGGUGAGGUAAAGGCUCACCAAGGCUACGAUCUAUAGCUGGUCUGAGAGGAUGAUCAGCCACACUGGGACUGAGACACGGCCCAGACUCCUACGGGAGGCAGCAGUGGGGAAUCUUGCGCAAUGGGCGAAAGCCUGACGCAGCCAUGCCGCGUGAAUGAUGAAGGUCUUAGGAUUGUAAAAUUCUUUUACCAGGGACGAUAAUGACGGUACCUGGAGAAAAAGCCCCGGCUAACUUCGUGCCAGCCGCCGCCGUAAAAC